rnacentral:rRNA from 1 species
CAUGUCUUUUUGAUUAUAAUUUAAAGUCUGACCUGCCCUAUGAUUUAUUAUAAUUGAAUGGCCGCGAUAUUUUGAUCGUGCAAAGGUAGCAUAAUAAUUAGUUUUUUAAUUGAGAACUGGUAUGAAUGGUUGGACGAGAAAAAGACUGUCUCAAUUUAAUUUAAUUAGAAUUUUAUAUUUAAGUAAAAAAGCUUAAAUGUAUUUAAAAGACGAGAAGACCCUAUAGAGUUUUAUAUAAAAUAUGUUUUUAAUGUAAAAGUAUUUAAAAUUUAUUUAUAUAUUUUAUAUUUAGUUGGGGUGACUAAAAAAUUAAAAUAACUUUUUUUAUUUUUAAAAUCAUUGAUAUAUGUUUAAAUGAUCCGUAAUUUUACGAUUAAAAGAUUAAAUUACCUUAGGGAUAACAGCGUAAUUUUUUUUGAGAGUUCUUAUCGAAAAAAAAGUUUGCGACC